rnacentral:rRNA from 1 species
UUGAAGUCGAGAAUGAAAGGAAAAAUUAAAAUAAACUGUCUUAAAAGUUUUUUUUAAAAAUUACUAAUAUGGUGAAAAUUCCAUAAAUAAAAUUUUAAUAGACGAGAAGACCCUAUGAAUUAUUAUUAAAAAUUUAUAUAAAAAAUUUUAAGUUUUUGUUGGGGCAACAGGAAUUUAUUAAAAUUAAAUUCUAAUUUUAAAUAUACAUUUGAAGUUUUACUAUAAAUGAAUUUAAUU